GUUCAACCACGCGAAGUAUGUAUACGAUGGCAUCAAGGCCGCGGUCAACAAGGUGAAAUGUGCGAUGCCAUCGAACCCUACUAGCAUCGAGCUCGAGAGCUGCCUCAUCGUGCUGCAGAUUGCGCUUGUCGAGCAUCGCCGGUUCGGUCUUCCUGGAUCUCUUCAACAGCAGCAGCCACGUAUAGCAGAUUACAUAGAAGGCAACCUAAAAGAUUUGCUCCGAGCUUACCUCCCCCACAACAUAGAAGUUGGCCAGUACGACGAGAUCGUGGACGAUGACUCCGACCC